UGUUAACUGUAGAUGUUUAAAAUCCUUCUCUUGAUUAUUUAUCUCUUAAUUCUCUCUUUCAAUUUAACCUAUAAAAUUUCUCAGUGUUAUAAUUAAUUAGUUAAUCUUUAUAAUGCGGCUAAAUGUUAACAUAUAACCAGCGCCAGCGGGAAAAGGUUGCAAAUUUGAAGCACAUAAUGAAAUUAGCUUUCACCCUACAAAUCUUUACUUGUGUACUUACGGUUUGGUAGACCCUAUAUCUUGAAAUGAUAUUUAGGAUAUGAUAGUGACAUGAAAUUUGCUUCAUGGAGAAAAAGUAGUAGGCUACCGUCGAGCGUAGACGAAACAAGAAUAAAUUCACAUGCUCAAAUGCGCUCAAAUGUUGAGACAUACAUGAUUAAAAUGGUCAUCUUAUAACAUAAAAAAUUGAGGUCAAUGAUAUGUAACACAGUGCAUCUGAAUCUGAUAUCGUGUUCGAUGCAGAAUCACAUUACCAAUUUUAUCUAUUUGCCCGUCUCAUUUCCACUGAUUUUACUUCAUUUUAGUCGAGUUUUUCCGUUUGUAACAUAUUAAUUUAUUCCCAGGUUCGCAGCUAAAAAAAUGCCAAUGUUCUUGCUGACACCCUCUUAACUAUUUUCCUCUUCGAACUCCAUCUGAUGAUAUACGUAAUAACUCAUUUCCUUUUUGUUCCUUCAAGUGUUAUGAGUUUACCAGAACACCAGCGAGGAGGCAACGAACUCAUUUCUAGAAUAAGCUACUGUCAGUACCGUGUCUCUAUUCUAUCUGAUAGAUUUUAUUUAUUAUUUUUUUUAAAUUCCAAAUCUUUAAUUUUGUUAUCAAGUUUAUUGCGAUAUUUAACAAGUAAUUCAGUGUGUUAGCUAUUAAAUCCGAUUAAAUCAAAUUAAUUGAAACUAUUGGAAACAUUUUUUCUAAGCGACGAUCAUUUUGCAGUCGUUCAAUCAGUACAAGCAACGAGUUAUUGCCUCCGGGUUGGAUAUUGCUUCUAACCAGAAAUCACGCUCAUCCAAAAUU